UGCAAAGUCUGCUUCUUGCUCCAAGGCUUGCCAAGGUGCAGAAGUCCAGGGGAGGAAGUAACCAAUCAAUUUUUUCAUUUCCCUGUGUAAACAGCAGCAAAUCAGGAUGGAUUUUGAAAUCUCAUUACUGGAAAGUGAGACACGUUGUGCACAUUUUAACAUAUGUAUUAACUGUAUGCAGUGGCUUGCAGACAGAAAUUAUAAGCCAUUGUGUUUGUUUCACAAAGCUUUUUUCAAAAGACAACCUGAAUAUGUACUUUAAUACUCUGAAUGCUUUUUGGACGGUGAGGGUGAAAAUAAUUUUUACUCCUUUGUCACUACUAUUCUAUUAAUUUUAAUGUUUUCUUACUGUUAGUUAAUUAUGUUGUAAGUAAUACAUUUUUUAUGCUUGAAGACUAAAUAUUGGCACUUAGUAGGAUGAUAUGUAGAACAAGGCCCUGAUUUUAGGAAGAUUUAUUACAAAAGGAAGAAUUUUAUCUUUGUCCUUAAAGAUUAUCAAUUAGUGUUGGCAUGGCAUAUGAGUAAAAGUGAGUGCAAAUUUACCACUGUCAUAUUUGCAAGUCAGUGAGUUGUGUGAGCCCUCUGCACCUCCUGCAUGGCAGGUUGGUUUGCCAUUGUUUCCAGGUUUUUAAGAGGUUGCUUUGCAGGACUGCCCUUCUGUGACAAUUAUCAACACGAGAUUUUUCAAGCUAUUCCAUGCUCCCUGCUAUGUCACCUUAGUAGCUUCCAUGGACAUGAACAGAUCAAUGGUAAUUUGAAAACACCAACUCAUUGCUAAUUUCAAUAAAAGCAGAUAUUCCACUAAUAACAUGCCACUUCUGCCUCUGAGGUCCUUACUGCCUUCAUGUAGCUCAAAGCUGGAUCCAGGGAAUGAAGAUUCUUACAUAUGCCACAUAAAAGCUCUGAAUUUAUCAUCAGAUAAUACAAGAAUUUGUUUCAGUGGUAUAUAUAUGGAAUUUGAAAACUGAUACAUGCCUCAAACUAUUUACUCCAUAAAAGAUUAAAAAUAAAUAUGAUAUAUACAUAUACUUUAACUUUGCAGGGAACAGGUUUUUAAACUUUUAAUUGGAAAAUAGAAAUCUGCUUCACUGGUUCCUAAGAGAAACACUUUUGGCACAGUGAAAGGAUUAAACAUGAAUAUUCAAGAUUUCAAAGAUCAAUUAAUUUUUUCAAUAGUUUUGAAAAGAGAGAGAAAUCCUAGACAUACUCAGGUACAUAUAACCUUUGCCACUGAGUUAAAGUCAAUACUUUCAGUAAACUUCUCGUGGUAGGAAAAAGAAGUAAUAUCAUUAAGCACUACCUAUAGGCAGCAAAAUGCUUUUAUUUACAUUAUUUAGCUCUGAUUCACCCUACAAAGAUACUAAUUUGAUUAUGAGGGUCAGUGAACCUUUAUUUAUCAGGCAUAAUAUAACAACAGUCCUUCAAGAAACACAUUUUCCUGUCCUGCUUGGAGAGAAUAGGGAGCAUGGAGGGAAGGGCCCUGAAAGGAUGCUCGUUCUCAACAGGCUGUGGUGUCCUUGACUUCUUUGUUCCAGGCCCCAUUCAAAUUGACAACCUGAGAUAAAAUAAAAUGUCCUCAUUUUUGCUUGUGGAUGAAAAUCCAAUAGGGAAAAAUAGACUUCCUUGUCUAUUGUUUAGGAGACCUAUGACUUCUUGAGUCUUCAAUCACUAUCAACCCAAACUAAUUUUCAAUUCGUAAGUCAGAUGAGAACAGUGUCUCAAGGGCAUCAGAAAAAAAUACCUGUGCUUUGUCAAAUAGAUUUGCAGAACUACAGAGGUUGUUUUCAAAAAUCAAAUAGAAACUUUUGGAUUAAAAAUUCUUUUGAAUUAAAGAAGUUUCCAUGCUAGCAUUUUUUUGCUUGAAAGUACUUCUUUAAAAUGAAAGAAAGAUGAGAUAAAAAUAUCUUUUACUCUGAGAUCAUACAGAUGUCACAGUUCAAGCAUUUAUUUUAUGAUCUGUCAAAUAGCACAAAAAACUCUGAUAUCUUUCAUCAGUUCUAAAACUUGCAGUCCAAAAACUAGUAAGGAUCUUAAGACAAACAUUUAAUUUUACAAGAUUGGGUUUUUUUGCAAAUUCAUUGCAUUAGUCUGGGGUGCUGUAAUGAGGAGUAAAACCAAAACCAAUUUGCUUAAAAAUAAAAACUUCUGCAGCAGUUUGAGGACCUGCAUUUUAGAGUUAUUCUCUUUCCUAUUACAAGUCCAGCCAUUAAAUAUUUCUUCUUUCUCACAACUUUUCACACCAGUUUCCCAAAUGGAUUUUCCACCUGUCUGCCUUUUUGUCCCUACUCAAACAUUAGUUUUCUUUCCAUUUCAUUGCAGAUGUUCCCCUUUUUUUCAUUGUGGCAAAUAGGAGGACUCUUUUCAUGCUGACAACAUACUUACAAAAAGCUGGACUUUACUUGUUUUAGCAGACAUUUGCUUUUUAAAACUCUCAGAGGGCCUGACCAUAUGUUCAGCUCACAUUUAUACAGCCUGAUUAAUUUAACCCAUUACUGUCUUAUAACUGGCUUGAGAAAAUGCAAUUCAUAAGUAUACUAGGCCUGUAAAUGUAAUUCUAUAAAACACAAGUAAAUUUGCAGUGUUAGAACACUCAAUCUAGGUUUUCAGUUUAAGAUACAUUUAUAUUAUAAUGGCAGGCCAGAAACAAAGAAGAAAUCCAUUUAAAUAACUUUGCAAGCACUGGAGGUUCUUUGUAGCUUUGAUAUGAUGGUCAUGGAAAAUGGACUCUCAUAGCAUUUUUAUUGAUCAUUUGGUAAAUUAUGCUUUUCUUGAAAUGAUACGUUUGAUUAAUAUUUGCAGAUGCUCAAAAUAGCAGCAUUUCUUGUGCCACCAUCAUAUCAUUUACAGUAAAGAAAGAUGUUGAUUCCUCCCCAGCACUGUUAACAGCAGUUCUUCAGAGUAGGGGAAAUGAUAAUACUAAAGUUGUUCUCAUUCUUACAGUUUUGAGAUGAGGUAAGAACUUUGCCAACAAAUGAUUCAGAAAUAUUUAGCGACUCCAGAAUACCUCUUUCCUACAUGUAAAAUCUUUUGGGUUCAAUUUAAUCCAUGGAGAUAUGUAAGUACCUGGGUUGGGAAAGCAUCUCAGCUCCAAAGCAGACUGAAUUAAAUACUGUAUUUACUACGUGGCUGCCAUUAUCCCAGAGUAGGACGUUCCACUUGUGAGUUUAUGUUGAGGAAGGCAGACUAAACACUAUGUGGGACCAGUUCUAUCACACCAAGGCUGAGAUUUCCCAAAAUAUAUAGUCCUGGCCUUUGUUUCUUUCUAUAUACUAGUUGGAAAGAGAAUAACCUAACAUCAAACACUUUUAAAAUCCUGUUUUUCUGUUAGUUUACUUAUUAAUGAGAAUAUGACUUUGUCAUGUGAAAAUGAAAAUAGUGAUCAUUUUUUUUACUAGUUUAAGUAAUACCUGGAAAUACUGCAGGUUUCACAUGAUGCAGGGAAAGAACCAUCCUUCCUUGGAAGGAUUGCAGAAGAGAGGACAAGCAGGUGGAAGAGAGAAGGUAGCAUCUCUGACAAGUUCCUCAGAUGGUAAAAGGCUUGACUUAAACAAUCCCAGUCCUGAUAGAAAGCAUACUAAAGCCAGUUAAAAAUCUUGCUUCUAGGAUUAAACUCAGAUAUAGAGGAACAGGAUGAAAAAAUUUAUUUUUACAAGUCUUCUAAAUUAAAAUAGACUUCCAAUUACUUUCCUCAGCUGAAAAGGACAGUUGAAAUAUGGUGGUGUACCUUAUUUUGGACACUGGCUUUGCAGGCUGCUUUCUUAGAUAUUUCUUCUAUAAUGAGACAGUAGUAAAUGAAAAAUAUUUUUAACCUCCUCAAUGUCUCUCAUAAGUGAAAAGCAGAAAAUCUAUUUCAUAGGAAUGUCUUCUUGCAGAGCUUCAUCUAAAACUCUCAUUUUCAGGGCCAAGGUUUUGUUUUCUCACUUAUGCCAGCAACGAGGUAACAAAAAAAUCUUAGGCACACGCUCAGGUUACAUUUCUCUGUUUCUCAUACAUUUUUUAUUCACUGACUUAAUCCUCAAGGUAGUUAUGCCAGCAGAAAAGCAUGCUAUCUUUCCAACUUAUUUUCUCAGUGACAGCAGAUAGGCAUGACAGGGAUCUGGUCCCAGCCACUCACACAUUGAAAUAAAAAUGUUUUAAUUUACAAGACUGUUUGGGUUUUUUUUUUUUUUUCUAGCCACUGGAGAAAUUAGAUGAGACAUGUCAUUUAAAUAGCAUUCACACCACCUAGUUUUGGAGAAUCGAUUCAUUCUACUCCUAUAUAUGAGUAUAUAUACUCAGUUUGGAAAGAAAUCAACUCAGAAGUUCUCAUUUCCUCACUGCUAGUAUACAGGGUGAUGCAAGAUGUGGCUCCAACCUAUGACAGCUGCAUACAACUUCCAAAAAUUUGGUAGCAGGAGUAUUAAUUACCCCAGAUUUUUCCUGGGGCCAGCAGCUGCCUGGAGCACUUUGCUCUCAGGCACAGACUGGAAGCAUGACACAUUAGGUGCUCAGCAGAAGGCAGAGCAUGGGAAGACAUAGUGAAAGAAAAUUAUUCCUCUCACACAACAUUUCUGUAUGAAUUUCUUCAUAUGUGCAAAAGAUGGAAUAUAGAUGCUGUCUCUUACUUUGUCAAGACAGCUAAGAGGAACAGUGAUUUUUUUCAGAAUUCCUUCAGAAUCCAAAAGUAUUUUGACUGUUUUCAUUAUCACUUGUUUCAAUAUAUCAUUGUAUUCUAAAGGAAAAUCUUCUACCCUUGCUGCUCAUUCAGGUUACUGUGAUUAUUCUUAAAUCCCAUGACAGAGAGCAGGAUGACGCUUUGCAGUAAGAGCUAUGCCCUUCUUUUACUGAGUUGUGUACCACAGUAUCCCACAGUACUUCACCCUUACUGUAUAGCCCAAAUGCAACACAAGUGAUUCAAUACUGCUCCACAUCUCGCAGAUCUUGGUUGAAAUUCAGUUCUGCAAGUGCAUGCAUAAACAAUUGCAUGCCAAUCUUGCUAGCUGCAACUUCAAAUAUUGAUUAGAAAACUGAAAUUUUAAGCUCUGAUUCUAUCUCCUCCCACUGACUUCAGCAAAGCAGCAUCAGGGGAAAAAAAAUUACAAAUUAUAUUUGAUUAGUAAAUCUCAAUCUGAAUUCCUACUCUUAUUACUACUAAUCUCUAGUUUACUUUGUGGCUUUUAAAGCAGAUUAUUUUUACCAAGCCUGUCAGGAAAUGUCUUUGGAAUCAUGUUUCACUGUCAUCCAAAAAGGUGGAGGUGACUCCCUUGCCUGGAGCAAACCCCUGAUAAGGAAAUUUGCUGAUAAAACAUUUCCAUCAGAUUAGACUACAAAUGAGCAUCAGGGUCUAUGAAUCUACCACUUAGUGUAAAAAAUAGGUAAAAACUUCUGCAAAAAGUCACUAAUUUGGAAAACAAAAAUACAGGAAUGUUUCAUGCCACAGUACCAAAAAAACUUUGUAGAUUUUAUUGGUGAAUUUUGCCCACUUAUAAAACAAUGGUAUGGGUACAAGUCAUAGGAUGCUACUUUUAGAGUCAGUAUUUUCUAUUAGGAAUGAAGUUCAGGAAGUCUUUAUCAAUUCAUCAGAGUUUCUUUCUAGAUAACACCUUAUAAUUAUAAUCUACCUGCUGAGUGCUUUAAAUCAUUGAUGAAAAAGUGGGGAGAGGCAAGAAGCUGUUCCACAAAGUUGUCCCUAAUCUCAUCAGUGAGGCAAGACUUGAGUCUCAAAUCCAAUUUGAACAUACAAAAACUGCCCCAAAGAGUUCAUAAACACCACACCAGCUCUUCUAAAGUAAAAGCAGAGCAACCAUUAGUUUAUAAUAGCUUAGAAAAGAGAACUAUUAGAAGAAUAUAUAUCUUUAAUUUUUCCACUUGGAAACCUAGUUUACAACAUGCAUUAGUAUUUGCAGAAGUAGGGUUCACUUUAACCAGGUAGUCUUUUUGAUCUAAGAUUGAUAAAGUAGAAUGAGAAAAUGUGGACCUUGACAUCAAUUUUGGUGGUAGUGGUGGUGGUAGUAGUAUUUUAAUUUGUUCAUUUGGUUUUACAAUUUCUAGAGACAAUUUUGCAUUCAUUUGAAGUAGAUACUGGAUAACUUGGCACCUAAAACAAGCACCACUGUAUCUCCCAGUAUGAGUGGAAAGACAGAGCACUGGAACAAGUUGGCUGGAGUGGUCAUGGAGGUCUCCCACCUUGGAGAUAUUCAAAUGCCACCUGGACAAAACCCUGGGCAGUUUGCUCAAGGUGACCCCACGUGAGAAGCGGGAGUGGACCACAUGGCCUCCAGAGGUCCCUUACCAACUCAGCUUUUCUGUGAUUCUGCGAGUCAGACAAAGGCAUUCCCUGAGAUCCUUUGACUUAGGUUACUUAAAAAGGAUCCCUCAGGGCCUCAGCUUACUCCAGUUCCUGCACCAUGAAGUGACAGAAUGGAGAUUGCAAUGCUGAGGCCAUCCAGGCAAACCUGGGAAUAGAGCACAGAUCCUCAUGGGAUGAGGGCCUGGAGAAUCUUUCUGAGUAGCACAGAAAAGCUGCAGCUCCUUUUGAAUGGUAAAUAGCCUCCCCACAUCUAAAAGUAUUUCUUCCCCCAAGACCUAGAAUAAAAUCCUGGCUUUAUCAUGUAAGCUUUUCUAUUCCCAAAAGCGGAAGAAAAUUUUCAUUCUGUUAAUAUUCUCUUGUUUUCAAGCACAGCUGAAUCAGCAUUUGCAUUCAAGUUGAGGUUGCAGUGUUACCAUUGCAACACAGAGAAGCAAGCAAGCAAGAAAGUCUGUAUCUGAAAUCUGCCCCACUCUUCAUGUCUUUUUAAUGAGCACCUCUCAUUUUUGGCAGCAAGUCAGGAUCAGAUUUUCAUCUCCCAAGUCAAACGCUGAUACAGUCGCAUUAAUUGCAAUUCUAUCUAGAAAAAACAGAGUUUUGUCUCUAAUCAUAAUCUGUGUUUUCCACUUUACAAUUGCUCAAUAAAAUCAAGUGCCACAAAGUCAAGUGCUCAAAAUGUCUGUUGGCAGAAUUAGCAAAUUUAAUUGGCUUUUGUGGGAAGAACUGUGAAACAAAUGGGGUUUAACUAUUGCACACCUAAAGUCUAAAUUAGACUUUCUAAUAUGAUAUACCUAGGAGCAGAUAUUUUCUCACUGGACAUGUAUAUUAAAAAUGGGACAAAGCAGACAUUUUAGAAGAGACUUGUACAACAUUAAAGUACACUAUUUUAAGGCGAGGGAAGUCAAUGCAAUCAGUCCAUUACAA